AACGAACGCUGGCGGCAUGCCUAACACAUGCAAGUCGAACGAGACCUUCGGGUCUAGUGGCGCACGUGUGCGUAACGCGUGGGAACCUGCCCUUAGGUUCGGAAUAACUCCCCGAAAGGGGUUCUAAUACCGGAUAAUGUCUUCGGACCAAAGAUUUAUCGCCUUUGGAUGGGCCCGCGUUGGAUUAGCUAGUUGGUAGGGUAAAAGCCUACCAAGGCGACGAUCCAUAGCUGGUCUGAGAGGAUGAUCAGCCACACUGGGACUGAGACACGGCCCAGACUCCUACGGGAGGCAGCAGGGGGGAAUAUUGGACAAUGGGCGAAAGCCUGAUCCAGCAAUGCCGCGUGAGUGAUGAAGGCCUUAGGGUUGUAAAGCUCUUUUACCCGGGAUGAUAAUGACAGUACCGGGAGAAUAAGCUCCGGCUAACUCCGUG
rnacentral:rRNA from 1 species